GCAGAAGAAGCUUGGAGUCUGCAGUCUCACAAUCCCCAGGUGGCCGGAGUUGGCCUCACUCUGCACGGGAGUGGGAGGCAAGGACCCCUCAGAGGGGCUGGCGCCCGUGGGUAGCCUCACCUUCAGUCACAUGGGCUAGAGGCGGUGGGGCUCCUGAGCCCAGGGCAGCUGGAGAGCGCUCCGACCAGCACCUUCUGCUGUUUAAAGAAGGUGGGCCCGGGGAAAGCUGUGCCUGAUUCAUUCAUCCCGGGGACAGGCCUCUCUGACGUGCUCUCUCUGGCAGUCUGAUCCUGAAGAACAAGUGUGUCACCACCUCCUUGAAAGGACAUCAGACAGCAAAUGGGAGAAUCCACAAGGAGGGAAGGAGAGGCCACAUAGAGAGGUGAGUUCUGAAUUGGGCCCGAACAGGGAACAGAGAACUCUCCCUGGUCAGGUGCAGGCCUUAAAGCUGCCUGCAGCCACUC
rnacentral:lncRNA from 1 species